rnacentral:rRNA from 1 species
ACGGGUGAGGAAUACAUCGGAAUCUGCCUUAUUGUGGGGGAUAACGUAGGGAAACUUACGCUAAUACCGCAUAAGACCGAAAGGUGAAAGUGGGGGACCGCAAGGCCUCACGCGAUAAGAUGAGCCGAUGUCGGAUUAGCUAGUUGGUGAGGUAAUGGCUCACCAAGGCGACGAUCCGUAGCUGGUCUGAGAGGAUGAUCAGCCACACUGGAACUGAGACACGGUCCAGACUCCUACGGGAGGCAGCAGUGGGGAAUAUUGGACAAUGGGCGCAAGCCUGAUCCAGCCAUGCCGCGUGGGUGAAGAAGGCCUUCGGGUUGUAAAGCCCUUUUGUUGGGGAAGAAAUCGUACGGGGUAAUAUCCCGUGCGGAUGACGGUACCCAAAGAAUAAGCACCGGCUAACUUCGUGCCAGCAGCCGCGGUAAUACGAAGGGUGCAAGCGUUACUCGGAAUUACUGGGCGUAAAGCGUGCGUAGGCGGUUCGUUAAGUCUGUCGUGAAAGCCCUGGGCUCAACCUGGGAAUUGCGAUGGAUACUGGCGAGCUAGAGUACGGUAGAGGAUGGUGGAAUUCCCGGUGUAGCGGUGAA